UGCAAGUCGAGGGGCAGCACGGGUAGCAAUACUGGGUGGCGACCGGCAAACGGGUGCGGAACACGUACGCAACCUUCCUUUAAGCGGGGAAUAGCCCAGAGAAAUUUGGAUUAAUACCCCAUAAGAAUGUGAUCUGGCAUCAGGUAGCAUUUAAAGAUUUAUCACUUAAAGAUGGGCGUGCGUCUGAUUAGGUAGUUGGUGAGGUAACGGCUCACCAAGCCGACGAUCAGUAACUGGCGUGAGAGCGCGACCAGUCACACGGGCACUGAGACACGGGCCCGACUCCUACGGGAGGCAGCAGUAAGGAAUAUUGGUCAAUGGACGCAAGUCUGAACCAGCCAUGCCGCGUGGAGGAUGAAGGCCCUCUGGGUUGUAAACUUCUUUUAUCUGGGACGAAACACUUCUUUUCUAAGGAGCUUGACGGUACCAGGUGAAUAAGCACCGGCUAACUCCGUGCCAGCAGCCGCGGUAAUACGGAGGGUGCAAGCGUUAUCCGGAUUCACUGGGUUUAAAGGGUGCGUAGGCGGACAUGUAAGUCCGUGGUGAAAUCUCAGGGCUUAACCCUGAAACUGCCAUGGAUACUAUAUGUCUUGAAUGUUGUGGAGGUUAGCGGAAUAUGUCAUGUAGCGGUGAAAUGCAUAGAUAUGACAUAGAACACCAAUUGCGAAGGCAGCUGGCUACACAAAUAUUGACGCUGAGGCACGAAAGCGUGGGGAUCAGACAGGAUUAGAUACCCUGGUAGUCCACGCCCUAAACGAUGAUUACUCGACAUACGUGAUACACAAUGUGUGUCUGACCGAAAGCAUUAAGUAAUCCACCUGCGAAGUACGACCGCAAGGUUGAAACUCACAGGAAUUGACGGGGGUCCGCACAACC
rnacentral:rRNA from 1 species